rnacentral:rRNA from 1 species
GACGAACCGUGCGAACGUUGUUCGGAAUCACUGGGCUUAAAGGGCGCGUAGGCGGGCUGCCAAGUCUGGGGUGAAAUCCCACGGCUCAACCGUGGAACUGCCUUGGAUACUGGCGGCCUCGAGGGAGGUAGGGGCAUGCGGAACUGUGGGUGGAGCGGUGAAAUGCGUUGAUAUCCACAGGAACUCCGGUGGCGAAGGCGGCGUGCUGGACCUCUUCUGACGCUGAGGCGCGAAAGCGUGGGGAGCGAACAGG